rnacentral:rRNA from 1 species
UACGAAGGGGGCUAGCGUUGCUCGGAAUUACUGGGCGUAAAGCGCACGUAGGCGGCUUUCUAAGUCGGGGGUGAAAUCCUGGAGCUCAACUCCAGAACUGCCUUCGAUACUGGAAGCUCGAGUCCGGGAGAGGUGAGUGGAACUGCGAGUGUAGAGGUGAAAUUCGUAGAUAUUCGCAAGAACACCAGUGGCGAAGGCGGCUCACUGGCCCGGUACUGACGCUGAGGUGCGAAAGCGUGGGGAGCAAACAGGG